rnacentral:tmRNA from 1 species
CCUGUUGUUUCCGGCAUAUGGGGCACCGAUCAAACGGGGAUAGUCGGGGCGACACCUUUAAACCCCGAUGAAACAAACAAAGGUUAAGGAUUGGUUCGGUUGCCUUUCACCUGGCCAUUCCCGACAAUCAAGAAAGGCUAAGCAUGUAGAAAGCAAGCUGGUUCCUUGUUUGGACGAGGGUUCGAUUCCCUCCAGCUCCACUU